UAUGUGAUCGUCUCUCGCAUAUCAAUAAGCGGAGGAAAAAGAAACUAACAAGGAUUCCCCUAGUAACGGCGAGUGGAGCGGGAAGAGCUCAAAUUUGAAAUCUUAAAGGGUUUCCCUUUACGAAUUGUAGUUUAAAGAAGUGUUUUCUGUUGAGGUUUUGGUAAAAGUUCUUUGGAAUAGGACAUCAUAGAGGGUGAGAAUCCCGUAUUUGACCUUUACUUUCAACUUUGUGAUACACUUUCAAAGAGUCGGAUUGUUUGGGAAUGCAGUCCAAAAUGGGUGGUAAAUUUCAUCUAAAGCUAAAUAUUGGCGAGAGACCGAUAGCGAACAAGUACCGUGAGGGAAAGAUGAAAAGAACUUUGAAAAGAGAGUUAAACAGUACGUGAAAUUGUCAAAAGGGAAGCGUUUGACACCAGUGUUGUUUUUCUGAAAAUCAAUUAAAGAACUGUUUAUGCUAAGCUGUUUAGACUUUAUCAGCUAUCUGUUUAGUUUUGAGCUUUUCUUUAAUGCACUUUUCAGUUAACAAGUCAACAUCAAUUUCUUUUGCUGUAAAAAAGCUUGAGGAAGGUGGCUUGAGAUUCGUCUUAAGUGUAUAUAGCCUCUUGCCUAUGCAGUCGGAGAGAUUGAGGUCUGCAGCGUAGAUCCUUCGGGGCUAAAUGCAUUUGUGCUAAGUUAUAGCAGUUUUAUAGACAACUUGUUGACUAUGAUUUGUCUUGUAGCUUACUCGCUUAUGUUAUUUUACCUACGCUUAGGAUGUUGAGCGCAUGUCUCUCUCU
rnacentral:rRNA from 1 species